UGGGGCUGAGCCGCCGGAGUUUGGGCGCCUUCCUGACUCAGGCUCAGUACCAACCAGAGCCGCCGCCUGCCCGCCUUGGGUGCGGACGUGGGGUUUCAGACCCUGCCGUUUCUCUAAAUGCCAGGCAGGAGGCUGGCAGCUGAGCACUGACCACUCACCCUGGGAGACACCCCCGAGAUGCAGACGCCUGCCCACGAGGGGCCAGCUGGCUUGUAUCCUUCCUGUGGCAUCCCCAGCUGGAUAUGCUGACGUCCUAACCCCCAGCACUGCGAACGUGACCUGAUUUGGGCAGAAGAGGCACUGCGGGUACAAUUAGGUGUUCAUUCACCAGCCUCAUCUAUGUCCAGGAGAGCAGAUAGUGGGAAAACAGAAGUCACAGGCAAGAAACUGCUCCUGUCACUCAUCUUCAGGCUGCUGACUGAGGUCCUCCUACUCAGCAUCUGACCCCUAGA